GGAAUAUUGGGCAAUGGAGGAAACUCUGACCCAGCGACGCCGCGUGCGGGAUGAAGGCCUUCGGGUUGUAAACCGCCUUCAGUAGGGAAGAAGCGAAAGUGACGGUACCUACAAAAGAAGCACCGGCUAACUAUGUGCCAGCAGCCGCGGUAAUACAUAGGGUGCAAGCGUUGUCCGGAAUUAUUGGGCGUAAAGAGCUCGUAGGUCGUUUGUUACGUCGGAUGUGAAAACCUGAGGCUCAACCUCAGGCCUGCAUUCGAUACGGGCAAACUAGAGUUUGGUAGGGGAGACUGGAAUUCCUGGUGUAGCGGUGGAAUGCGCAGAUAUCAGGAGGAACACCAAUGGCGAAGGCAGGUCUCUGGGCCAAUACUGACACUGAGGAGCGAAAGUCUGGGGAGCGAACAGGAUUAGAUACCCUGGUAGUCCAGACCGUAAACGGUGGGCACUAGUUGUGGGAACCUUCCACGGUUUCUGCGACGCAGCUAACGCAUUAAGUGCCCCGCCUGGGGAGUACGAUCGCAAGAUUAAAACUCAAAUGAAUUGACGG
rnacentral:rRNA from 1 species